GGCAGUGUGGAUGUCCCUGGCGAAGCUCUGUUGCUAGCGGGAAGCAACAACAUAAGGCUGCAGAGGUAGAACAUAACCUGAAAUAAUCAAAUUGUGUUGUUGAUGCAAUGGCAAAUUUAAGAAGCGUUAGCAUUGAAGUAACACCUGGAAAUGAUGAGGACCAUAAAUUCAAGAAAUUUCACAACAAUACAAAGAACAAAAGGAAUAAAAGAAAUGUAAGAUCAAAGGCUAGCGAGGAUAAUGCAAAAUUAUGGUCAUUGAAACAGUUAACUCGGUUGAAAUUUCAAUUCGUGUGUUUCCUGUAUUACCAUCGUUUGAGCUCCAGUAUCUGCUUCAGUAUUGUUUCUGGCAGUUGCUUUCUUAUUGCCACUUAUCACAUUAAAUGAUCAUACUGUUUUGCGGAAUUAGAGAACAAAACAAAAACAAACAAAAACUUUAUGUCAACCGUACAUUUUAUCUAUUAUAGGUGUUAUUUGUCAAUUGGCUGGAAUUAUUCUAAUGGCAUUUUUACAUCGACAUCGAUUGGUUAUAUUAGUUGUUUGUUCUGGGAGCUGUGUGCGUUUCCAUUAAAUACUGAGAAAAUUUCAUAACAAUUGGUUGUGGAAAUAUUUCAAACAAUCACGACAAUUCUGUUGCAGAACACCCUUCUACCAUUUGCUCUAAUUCUUCCAAAGCGACGGACGUAGAAAAUCCAGUUUCUUUCGAACAAAACAAUAUCAACGAAUCAUUUUCUAAUGAACCUGGUAAUAUUGUAGCUGUAGGAGAUGUUGCCCCAAAUGGAACAAAAGUAAGAGGACAUGAAUCGAAAGUAACAACCGUACCUUUGACUCUAAUCACGCGAGAGGUAGAGAAUUAAAAGGGUCUUCCGCACAAAGAAAAGACAAGGAAUCCCCUGUUUUUAAGAAAUUUUAUUUUAGAGUUGUUUCUCCAAGUGAACUAAAACUAAGGAACCACCAAUCGUGAACGAAGAUAACUUACUUGGUAAAUCUUUGGAAAAUGGUUUGUACUUAAGUUGCAGUAAUAACAAUAUUUACAAGCAGUUCUGGCAAUUCAAAUGAUACUUUUCGAGCACUUUUUAACAAGGUAACGCUAUGGGGAAUGCAAUAUUUGGCGAAAAAGAGCUAAACGACAACGGUUCCUGUAAUUUAUAUAACUAUAGUAAAUAUAGUUUGUUCAUAUGUGUACUACAAAGCAUCGAAAAUAUCGUGCGUGAUCUUUUGUCAAAGAUUUGGGUUCUGUAUUUCUAUAUUAGCAUUGCCAUUGCUCUCCAUUGAUCCAAACCAGAUCUUCAACGAUUUUAAUCAUGUGACAUUUUGUUCUCUGACUGGUGUGUUAAAGGUGAAAAUACACAAGUCAGUCCGGUAUGCGGUUUAAAUAGAACAAAAGAAUUCGAACUCUUGUGUUUAGAAGGUAGAAAAGUGAAAUGAAUUUUGUGUACGGUUGUCAAGAUGACACAAAAGUUACUUUCAGUAAAAACAUUAUGAAUAUUUGCAUUCACGUUAAUAAAUUUUCAUAUUGUACAACUGUUAACAAUGCAACUUGCAAACAAUCGUUUUUAAAACGACCAUAAGUCAAGUUGUUACGUCAAUUAGGGGGUCUACUUAUAAACUGCUACUUUUUUUUUGCCCGACAUAGAAAAAUCCUGGGAAAAAUUACGAAUAUUGAGAAAUGAAUUAUCAAUCGGUUAAGACCAUUCCCAAAGUGGCACACCUAAAUUUGACAUUUGUACGCAAUUUCAAAGUUGGGUGUUAUAUGGCGGGGUUUUCCUCAUUGAUUAACGCAUCGAACACACCCCGUCCUAUAUAUGUAACAUCACAUGACUUUUUAGUGAUUAAAACUAUUAUUUAAAAAUAAUAUUUGCAUGUUUGACAUGUUUUUUUUUUCUUAAACAAUAACAAUUACUCCGACAGUCAUAAUUUCUGUAUUAUUCAAAAAGUUUUGUUACACAUUUUGUUACACCUUAGUUAUGCGGUAACCCGGAUUGGUUGACCAUUGUCAAGUUGAGUUUUUGGGGUAGCAUAGAUUUAUAUCGUUGUAUUCCUCUUGUUUGUGUUAAACAAUUGUACUUUC